UUUUGGGAGAUUUGAAUAUUGCUAAAGAUAUUUCAAAAAAAUUUUAUUAUUAUGUUGUUUGUUGAAAAAUAUUCAAAUUAAUCAAAAGAAAAAAUGUCACGAAAAGAUAAAUCAAAUCUAUCCAGAAAUUCAUCACGGGAUUAUGCAGCAAUCAAUUAAGGAAGCGAUCUUCAAUCUGCGUAAUAAUGGUAGACCCUAAAUGAAAUACCAACAUAUCAAGCAGGAAGAUUUUACAUUUAUAAAACGGAUAUCAUGUUGAACAAGAAUUCAUUUAAAGAAAGGAUAUUAUGUUUUCAACACCACACUGAUUGCAUUUUUUAAACUUUGUCAGAACGAUCCUUUCGCAAGCAUAUUAUUGUAAAUGCAUUCUGUAAUUAUACGUGGAACAUAUUAAAAAAAGAAUGGCAUCGUCGUGUUCUUGGUAUACCUGUUCAAAAUCAUCCUGGCGUUAAAGCAUCAGACGCUCUUGGUAGUGUCUACACGAAAUAUUUUACAAAUUUUACUACAUCAUGUUCGAGGUCCUUAACGCUUUGUAGAGCUUACAUUUUUCAAUUGUUAAGAAUGUAAAACUUAUAGAGAAGCAUGUAAAACUCGGCGACUGUUAGAAAAUGAUAAUCAUUAAAAUGAAACUCUGAAAAUAAGAGAACUUUACGCAACGCUUUUAUCUUCUUGCGGUCUUUCUCAUCCUCAAACACAUUGCGACCAGUACAAAGAAUACAUGGCGGAAGAUAUUUUACAUGAAUUGCAGCAAGUGCAUUCAGAUAUGACUUUCACUGAACAUAUAUUAUAUGUAUAUAAAAAAAAUUGUAAUUGAAAACAAGGUUUUAACAAUGGCCGGAAAAAACCUAGAUCACUUUGGAAUUCAAAUUCUUACACGAGGCAAUGGAGAUGAUUUUAAUAAUGAAAUUGGUUGAAAAUUACAACAUUAAAUUACAGAGUUAAUUCCAAAA